GACGCCGAGCAAGACGUGAUUCGCCAUCUUUGAUCUCUCCUUAAAUUAUUUUAGUAGCUGUUCGUUAAAUAAGUCGCGUUUUUUAACUCCACACACGACUUUCAUUGACUGGAACGAUCCGGAACCGUGCGAGAUUUUAUUGGCUCUCAUUUCGUAUAUUUGGAUUUUUUCUAUUUUUCUGAUAACCAACUUUAUUAGUGUUGUAUUGGUAAAAUGUUCUCUAAAGUCUAUGUGCCUGUCCAGGACAUGUCGCUGGUGACAGUGAAGCCUCCCUGACACAAGAAGACGUAGACGAAAAGGCCACGGUUACAGGUUGCAGUGUCUACUUUGACCACAAGGUGGCGACCCUGCUUCACCACAACCGAAGCUGCAGAUUUCAAGCAGGUUGGUGUAAUUUUGCAAACAUGAAGUAAACCAAGCACAAACACAUAUAUAUCGGGCACUAUAAGAAAGAUUGUGAUUUAUUUAGUUCAGAAGGAGACUACUUUCUAGUUUAGUCUAAACUACAUUCAUUAGAAAAAGUCUCUCAUUCAUUAGAAAAAGUAUAUCACAAUCUUAAAAUCAAAUGUGUUGUAAAAGGUAAAGUUUAUUUAUAAAAGGGUUUAUUUUUUUGACUAUUCUAAAAUGCAUAAAUCCGUUUUCAUUGUGGGUUAGUGAAUAAAUUCUCAGUGUCUGUGUGAGAACACGCACACACUGCAAGCGUGUCAUUCAAGUGCUCGGCUCAUGUGCAUGUGAUUGAUAUUUCAGGUUGAUCCAUGAGCCUCGCUUUCCUGCAUUUACUGCGUCUCGACCGGAAGCCACCAAUUAAUGUCCCUCUAAGCUCGUUUCCCCUGUGUUUCAAUGGCCUUGCAAAGUCAGACAGAUCAUUUCUGUAUUUCUGUGCGCCGCGGAAACUGUGCGUAAAAGCGCAGAGCGGCUACAAGAUCGCAGAUUUUCCAAAAAGCUAAUGCUUUUUAUCUUAAAAUAAGUUCACUUGUGUGUAAUAUAGACUGUAUUUACAGUCCAGAAUAGUAUCAGGUGAUACUAAAAACUAGUAACAUUUUAGCAACUUAGAAAUUUUUUACAUUUUUAAAUAUCAGCUUUUCGGUGAAGGUUACAAACAUCUGCGUCCAACACGGGGACUUUUACGCCACUACAGUCAAGGAAACACUAAGGAUUACCGAUGAUCUGCAGAAUAAUUCAGAGCACAUUUUAAAUCCUCCCACGGGAGAAACUCGCCACAUGUAAGAAGCUUUUGAGCUAAAACAGAAUCUGUCAUUCAUCUGUGUGUGUGUGUGUGUGUGUGUGUGUGUGUGUGUGUGUGUGUGUGUGUGUGUGUGUGUGUGUGUGUGUGUGUGUGUGUGUGUGUGUGUGUGUU